CUGACAGUUAUGACUCUGAACAUGGACUUUAUCAAACGUGGUGUUAGCAGCUUGUUCCUGUUUCUGCUCUGGGUAAAAGGUCUGGCUGAUGGCAGUGAUGUCACACAGACUGCCAUGGUGUGGGAGAAAGAGGGAGACAAUGCAACAAUGCACUGCAACCACACCAAAGGUGGAACAUAUUUCCAGAUGUACUGGUACAGACAGCUGCCGGGAGAAGGCAUGAAAGAAGUCGCGUUUACAAAAGUAGACGUAAAAGAUUUUGGAAAUUUCAGUGCGAAAAAGUUCGCAGCCACCAAACCCGACGCUCACAGUGGAACAUUCACGGUGAAGAAUGUGGAGCCCGGUGACAAAGGCUGGUAUUUCUGUGCCGUGUCUCAGCCCCACAGUGACACAGUCAACUGACAAGGCUGAUCAAAAACCUCUGUGCUGGGUGUUUCUCUUCAUGUUCUUCUAUUAAUGACAUGGAAAUGCUUUUACUGAACCUGCAUUAUGACGCAAGUAAGUUAUGAUGUAUGACAAAGUCAAUGUUA